UACGAAGGUGGCAAGCGUUGUUCGGAUUUACUGGGCGUAAAGGGAGCGUAGGUGGUUAGGUAAGCCCUCCGGGAAAUCUUCAGGCUCAACCUGAAAAGGUCGGGGGGGACUGCCUAGCUAGAGGGCGGGAGAGGAGCGCGGAAUUCCCGGUGUAGCGGUGAAAUGCGUAGAGAUGCGGCGGAACACCGAUGGCGAAGGCAGCCCCCUGGGCUGAGAUUGACGCUCAGGCACGAAAGCGUGGGGAGCGAACGGG
rnacentral:rRNA from 1 species